UUCCGUUCAUUCGUUUUUAGUAGUGAAACCAAAGACAAAAAAACGAGAAACCACUUAUUUUUUCGUUUCCCGUUUUAAAAACCAAAAUGGAAAAAACGGAUAACGGGUCGUUUUUUCAUUUUUCGAUUCUCCACCUAAAUGAAAAUUCUAAAUUUUGGAUUACGGUAUCUGCCCAUUCUUUUUCGUUUUGCCAUGGGGGCACGUCUCUUUUGGAACUUGGUUGCCAAGGUGAGGAAGACCACCAGCUGUGCUGACUGACAACAAACUGAAAGAACGACGGGCCCGUCUUAUGGACGUAAAUUUAUGACUGGAUACCUGUCAACUCUGGGCAUCAAGGCAGGCGAAGGACGUGUCGGGAGGAUACUAAGGGAGGUGCAUCAGCCAUAUAAUAUCUUGCGUCGUCAGGGAGCAUGCAAUCUAAACCCUAUUCCAUAUCAUGCGGAAUACAUGGGACAUAAGCUUCACAUGGACCAAAACGAGAAGCUGGGGAUGUUUGGUGUCACACAUGUUUUGGCUGUUGAUGGCUUCAGCAGCAAAAUUGUAGCCAAUGUUACAAUGCCAGUGAAGAACAACCUGGUCAUUUACAAUGAAGUGUACAGAGCAGCUGUUGCCAGCAAUGGUAUGUGGGACCAAAUCAGAGUGGACCACGGAAGGGAAUUCUUCUU